AGCUGGGGUCUGCUGUGCUGUGAGGAGGAAGGGACAGGCAGUCGUGCAGGGGACAGAUAAGAGCACACAAGUGCUUCAACCCUGUUGUCUGCCACAAGAAAUGCCACUGAUGGCACUGGCAAAUGUCACCUCGAGCACUGCAGGCUCUGGACUUCAGCAGGCAAAACGCUGUCUGCAGUGAGAUACAAGCCCCAAGACCACCAGGAGAAGAGGUGAAUCUUUAUCUUAUCCAGUGGUUUUCUUCAAAACACCAGUAAUUGAGAGCCAAAAGUGCAGAGGAAGCAUUUAGGAAUCUGGCCAGCACACGCUCUCCAGCAGGUGCUGUGCAUGCUGUGUGUGACCCCAGUAUUUUCAGACCACCCAGGACUGGGAUAAACUGGUUUGCUGCAGCUGUGUUCUGCUUAAGCCCUGCAGAGCAUCAUCUGCUUUACAUCUAGGAAUCAAGUCCUGGGUUAUUUUUAUUCCCAGAGGCUCAAGCUGGAAGGAAUCAGCAGCACCUUGGUGCCACCUUUCACCCUUCCCAGAACAGGAGUUGGCUUGAUGAUCCUUGUGAGUCCGUUCCAGCUCAGGAUAUUCUUUGAUCCUGUGGUAACUUCCACAGCAGCAAGUUCUCUAACCAAGGACUUGGCCAACAGGAUGGUUUGCUGUGAAUAUAUAAGGGGAUAUAUCAGGAUUUGUGUUCCAUGCUCAGGCUCACAUCCAAAGCUACUGGAUGGCAAAGCUGCUGCUGAGCCCUGUGUCUGUGGUCUUUACUGGGAGAUGUUUCAUUAAAGACUCCAGCUCCCAGUGGAGGUAAUCUUCCCCCAAACCAGAACUCACCUGACCUUCAUCUGAAACCUCUGGUAUUUUUCCAUUACCAAACACUGAGAGGGAACCAGUCUUCUUAGCCAGUGCAUUUAUAAAGAUUAUGCCGUCUACAGCACUGUUUUAGAAAAAGGUUUUCACUGGACAUCUAUUUUUCCUCAUUCCUUCUAAUGAGUAUUUGGCCGAGGAAAGCUCCAGCUCCCUUUCAAAUGCUCCUUGUCCUUGGUUGACCAGCUAGGAAAUGCUUCACCAGCUAUCUGUCUUCACCCUAAAUGCCUCACUGCAGGAUGAAGGGGGCUCUCCUGGUACUGAUCCCCAUGCAUCCUGACAGGUCCAUGCAGCCCGGAUACCUGGUGACAAAUGAAGAGUGACUGAUAUUCCCUUCAUACCCAGCAGCCACUAACCCUGCUGGAGUUGUUCUGUCACAGUGGAGACUAUGGGAAGGAUGGUUCUGCAAGCCUUUUAUACCUAAAACACAGCUAUUUAUAGCCUGAAUACUGCGCAGGAAUGACGGGAAGUGAAUCAUUAAAGAUGUUUUCAUUACGUGAACAAUCCUAAGGAAAAUAUUCCUUCCUGAAGAUGCACAUGUUGUCUGCUGCCACACUGGCAGCUGUACACAGCAGGGCUUUGCUCUUUUCAGAUCUGGCUAAUUUAGGAGAAGAACCUUAUUAGUGAUCUGGUGGAAGACCUCUAAGCCAAGUUUGGCAUGAAGGAGUCUCUCUUUUUGUCAUGGAUUUUUCUGGGUGAAUCCAUACCAAACUUGCAAAUCUUGCUGUCCAGGAAGGAAGUCACUCCCCAGCUGGCUGGAGUUGUCAUCCAUGGGCAGAGGUAGUUUAUAAAGGCUCCAGGACUUCCCUCAGGUCUGCUUUCUGCCCUGCUCCCACCAUCUCUCAACACCUUUCACCUCAGUUUCCCACCUGCAGUCUGGACCUGGUGACUGGGUCCUGUGCAGCAGGUGUUAGCUGAUGGUGUUCAUUACUGUUAAUUAUUGCACCCUUUGAAAUAAAUUAAUGAGGACCCUACUGUGAGAAGAGACCAAAAAUAGGCUGCUUCAGCAUGCACCAGGAUGAUUAUUUGUGGAGAAAUCUUGAAAUAGCAAAAGGGAUGCACGGGAUUGUCAGAGGAGCUUCUCUUUGCCCACAGCCUAUAAAUAGCCUGACACUGGGAGCUGAGGAGGGAGUUUUAAUUAAAUAGAAUUGUCUAUAAAAUCAUCAAAAAUGUAAGUUUGGGCAUGCUGAUCCUCUCUGGUAUUUUCUGCUGUUGUCUUGGAUCUCAGCCAACUUUAAGCUUUAAAAAUUUUAAGAUACUUCUGGCAGAAACAGGGAAAGACAGGUAACUAAUUUUCUAUAUGUUUCAGGCAGGACACACUACAUUAUGCAUAUAUAAAAUAGCUUGAAAUGCAGGCCCUGUCAUGCCAGGAAAACAUUUGCGAGGAAUUAUGCCCAUCCUGGUUUCAGCUAGGGUAGAAUUCAUCUCUUCUCAG